AUUGAACGCUGGCGGCAUGCCUUACACAUGCAAGUCGAACGGUAACAGGUCUUCGGAUGCUGACGAGUGGCGAACGGGUGAGUAAUACAUCGGAACGUGCCCGAUCGUGGGGGAUAACGGAGCGAAAGCUUUGCUAAUACCGCAUACGAUCUACGGAUGAAAGCAGGGGACCGCAAGGCCUUGCGCGGACGGAGCGGCCGAUGGCAGAUUAGGUAGUUGGUGGGAUAAAAGCUUACCAAGCCGACGAUCUGUAGCUGGUCUGAGAGGACGACCAGCCACACUGGGACUGAGACACGGCCCAGACUCCUACGGGAGGCAGCAGUGGGGAAUUUUGGACAAUGGGCGCAAGCCUGAUCCAGCCAUGCCGCGUGCAGGAUGAAGGCCUUCGGGUUGUAAACUGCUUUUGUACGGAACGAAAAGGUCUUUUCUAAUAAAGAAGACUGAUGACGGUACCGUAAGAAUAAGCACCGGCUAACUACGUGCCAGCCGCCGCGGUAA
rnacentral:rRNA from 1 species